rnacentral:tRNA from 1 species
GACCGCGUAGCUCAGUUGGCAGAGCAUUGGGCUAGUAUUCCAAAGGUCAUAGGUUUGAUUCCAUCGUGGGCA